rnacentral:rRNA from 1 species
CCCGGCACAAGCGGUGGAGCGAACGUGGUUUAAUUCGAUGCAAACCGAAGAACCUUACCUGGUCUUGACAUCCGGAGACCCUUAGGAAACUAGGGGUGCUUCCAUCUGGAAGAAUCUGGAGACAGGUGCUACAUGGCUGUCGUCAGCUCGUGUCGUGAGAUGUUGGGUUAAGUCCCGCAACGAGCGCAACCCUUGCCUUUAGUUGCCAGCAGUUCGGCUGGGCACUCUAAAGGGACUGCCGGUGUUAAACCGGAGGAAGGUGGGGAUGACGUCAAGUCCUCAUGGCCUUUAUGACCAGGGCUACACACGUACUACAAUGGCCGAUACAAAGGGCAGCGACACUGCGAGGUGAAGCCAAUCCCGUAAAAUCGGUCUCAGUCCGGAUUGGAGUCUGCAACUCGACUCCAUGAAGUUGGAAUCGCUAGUAAUCGUGGAUCAGCAUGCCACGGUGAAUACGUUCCCGGGCCUU